GAUGAAGAACGCAGCGAAAUGCGAUAAGUAAUGUGAAUUGCAGAAUUCCGUGAAUCAUCGAAUCUUUGAACGCACAUUGUGCCCCCUGGCAUUCCGGGGGGCAUGCCUGUCCGAGCGUCAUUUCUGCCCUCCAGCCCGGCUGGGUGUUGGGCGCUGUCCCCCCGGGGACACGCCCCAAAGGCAGUGGCGGCGCCGCGUCGGGUCCUCGAGCGUAUGGGGCUUUGUCACCCGCUCGGGACGGACUCGUCGGCGCUGGUCUUCCUCCAGGCGACCCUUCGGGGCUCGUCUUCCUUCGGUUGACCUCGGAUCAGGUAGGGUUACCCGCUGAACUUAAGCAUAUCAAUAAGCGGAGGA
rnacentral:misc_RNA from 1 species